rnacentral:rRNA from 1 species
UUGGUGGAUGAGUGGCGAACGGGUGAGUAACACGUGAGUAACCUGCCCCUGAUUUCGGGAUAAGCCUGGGAAACUGGGUCUAAUACCGGAUACGACCUCCUGACGCAUGUUGGGUGGUGGAAAGUUUUUCGAUCGGGGAUGGGCUCGCGGCCUAUCAGCUUGUUGGUGGGGUAAUGGCCUACCAAGGCGACGACGGGUAGCCGGCCUGAGAGGGCGACCGGCCACACUGGGACUGAGACACGGCCCAGACUCCUACGGGAGGCAGCAGUGGGGAAUAUUGCACAAUGGGGGAAACCCUGAUGCAGCGACGCAGCGUGCGGGAUGACGGCCUUCGGGUUGUAAACCGCUUUCAGCAGGGAAGAAGCGAAAGUGACGGUACCUGCAGAAGAAGUACCGGCUAACUACGUGCCAGCAGCCGCGGUAAUACGUAGGGUACGAGCGUUGUCCGGAAUUAUUGGGCGUAAAGAGCUCGUAGGUGGUUGGUCACGUCUGCUGUGGAAACGCAACGCUUAACGUUGCGCGUGCAGUGGGUACGGGCUGACUAGAGUGCAGUAGGGGAGUCUGGAAUUCCUGGUGUAGCGGUGAAAUGCGCAGAUAUCAGGAGGAACACCGGUGGCGAA